AGAGUUUGAUCAUGGCUCAGAUUGAACGCUGGCGGCAGGCUUAACACAUGCAAGUCGAGCGGUAGCACAAGGGAGCUUGCUCCCCGGGUGACGAGCGGCGGACGGGUGAGUAAUGUCUGGGAAACUGCCUGAUGGAGGGGGAUAACUACUGGAAACGGUAGCUAAUACCGCAUAACGUCGCAAGACCAAAGAGGGGGACCUUCGGGCCUCUUGCCAUCAGAUGUGCCCAGAUGGGAUUAGCUAGUAGGUGGGGUAAUGGCUCACCUAGGCGACGAUCCCUAGCUGGUCUGAGAGGAUGACCAGCCACACUGGAACUGAGACACGGUCCAGACUCCUACGGGAGGCAGCAGUGGGGAAUUUUGGACAAUGGGGGAAACCCUGAUCCAGCCAUCCCGCGUGUGCGAUGAAGGCCUUCGGGUUGUAAAGCACUUUUGGCAGGAAAGAAACGUCAUGGGUUAAUACCCCGUGAAACUGACGGUACCUGCAGAAUAAGCACCGGCUAACUACGUGCCAGCAGCCGCGGUAAUACGUAGGGUGCAAGCGUUAAUCGGAAUUACUGGGCGUAAAGCGUGCGCAGGCGGUUCGGAAAGAAAGAUGUGAAAUCCCAGAGCUUAACUUUGGAACUGCAUUUUUAACUACCGGGCUAGAGUGUGUCAGAGGGAGGUGGAAUUCCGCGUGUAGCAGUGAAAUGCGUAGAUAUGCGGAGGAACACCGAUGGCGAANGCAGCCUCCUGGGAUAACACUGACGCUCAUGCACGAAAGCGUGGGGAGCAAACAGGAUUAGAUACCCUGGUAGUCCGCGCCCUAAACGAUGUCAACUAGCUGUUGGGGCCUUCGGGCCUUGGUAGCGCAGCUAACGCGUGAAGUUGACCGCCUGGGGAGUACGGUCGCAAGAUUAAAACUCAAAGGAAUUGACGGGGACCCGCACAAGCGGUGGAUGAUGUGGAUUAAUUCGAUGCAACGCGAAAAACCUUACCUACCCUUGACAUGUCUGGGAAUGCCGA
rnacentral:rRNA from 1 species